rfam:Serpula lacrymans var. lacrymans S7.3 unplaced genomic scaffold SERLA73scaffold_10, whole genome shotgun sequence.
UGCCCCAUGGCUGAGUUGGUCACAGCGUCCGACUGUUAAGUUCGAGUUGAUCGAGCGGUUCAUCGGAAGGUCGUGAGUUCGAGCCUCACUGGGGCAG